rnacentral:rRNA from 1 species
GAUGAACGCUGGCGGCGUGCCUCAAACAUGCAAGUCGAGCGGGGCUAUGUAAUAUCGCAAGGUAGAACAUAGCCUAGCGGCGAACGGGUGAGUAGCACGUGGGUAACCUGCCUGGAAGACAGGGAUAACGAUUCGAAAGGGUCGCUAAUACCUGAUAAUAUCCUUUCAUCGCAUGGUGAUAGGAAGAAAGGGGAAACCCGCUUUCAGAUGGGCCCGCGUCCCAUCAGCUAGUUGGUAAGGUAAAGGCUUACCAAGGCGACGACGGGUAGCCGGUCUGAGAGGAUGUACGGCCACACUGGGACUGAGAUACGGCCCAGACUCCUACGGGAGGCAGCAGUUGGGAAUCUUAGGCAAUGGACGAAAGUCUGACCUAGCGACGCCGCGUGAGGGAAGAAGGCCUUCGGGUUGUAAACCUCUGUCAUGGGGGAAGAAGUAAGUGACGGUACCCCAAGAGGAAGCCCCUGCUAACUACGUG